CAGGAGACAGUUAUCCCUUUCUGGCCUGGCUCAGCGGACUUGAGAUGGGGGGGAUCUAUCUUCAGCCGUAAGUGGUGAGUUCUAUUCAGCAUCAGUGUUUGGAUAGGGGUUUUAGACUCGCCAGAGAUCA
ensembl:snoRNA